rnacentral:sRNA from 2 species
CCCAGCCGCACGCCGAGCUCUGCCAGCGGACCGGGAUGCAGCAAUCCAAGGCAGAGGCGGGGGAACCACCAGCGGCGGCCGAGGCCGCCUUGGGGUGAAGCCCGCAGCACGCUCGGGACACUGGCAUGCAGGAUCCAUCCGUGGAUACCCGUGUGCCCAGACCCGUGCGGCUGGGCCGAGUCCGGACUCUCUGGCUCGAACCCGACAGCUAACUUCGCAGGCGCUUGACGAGAGAGGGA